UUUUGCUCCAGCCAACACCCCAAACCCCCAUAACCACCGGCGCUGACCACCCCAGCCCACCGGACCAGACCCAACACGCCAGCCGGACCUUGCCGUCGCACCCCCGACCUGCGCCGCCUCCGUCGACAGCUCCAGCCACUGGAAACAGCUCGGAUUUGGCUGGUUUUUCUCCGAAUUUCAAACCUCUCGUUCUCCCUCCUCCGGCCACCAAAUCGGAUGAAUUAGGCACCCGGGCACCAGGUGACCCGCAGGAGAGACCUUCAAAGGGUCCAACUAGCUCAGAGUAUCUGCAGUAAGCGUGCACUGUGAGCCACCAUCGGGCCGAGUCCAUCUUCCGCCACAUCCCU